AAUACAGAGGAAAAAUUUGAACUGAUUGCAACCUCUUCAUAAUGAUAUCAUUCAUUAUGAGUACUGAAAAUUUAGUUUCGGUAUUAAAAAAUGCUAAAGCAGGAACU
rfam:Flavobacterium reichenbachii strain LMG 25512 Contig01, whole genome shotgun sequence.